CCUACGGGAGGCAGCAGUGGGGAAUAUUGCACAAUGGGGGAAACCCUGAUGCAGCGACGCCGCGUGAGUGAAGAAGUAAUUCGUUACGUAAAGCUCUAUCAGUAGGGAAGAAAUACUGACCUUACGGUCAGCAGACGGUACCUGAGUAAGAAGCCCCGGCUAACCACGUGCCAGAAGCCGCGGUAAUACGUAGGGGGCAAGCGUUAUCCGGAUUUACGGGGGGUAAAGGGAGAGUAGACGGUGCGGCAAGUAUGGAGUGAAAUGCCGCGGCUUAACCGCGGAACUGCUUUGGAAAUUGGCGAACUAGAGUGCGGGAGGGGUAAGCGGAAUUCCUAGUGUAGCGGUGAAAUGCGUAGAUAUUAGGAGGAACACCGGUGGCGAAGGCGACUUACUGGACCGUAACUGACGUUGAGGCUCGAAAGCGUGGGGAGCAAACAGGAUUAGAUACCCCGGUAGUC
rnacentral:rRNA from 1 species